GAUGAACGCUGGCGGCGUGCUUAACACAUGCAAGUCGAACGGAAAGGCCCAAGCUUGCUUGGGUACUCGAGUGGCGAACGGGUGAGUAACACGUGGGUGAUCUGCCCUGCACUUCGGGAUAAGCCUGGGAAACUGGGUCUAAUACCGGAUAGGACGAUGGUUUGGAUGCCAUUGUGGAAAGUUUUUUCGGUGUGGGAUGAGCUCGCGGCCUAUCAGCUUGUUGGUGGGGUAAUGGCCUACCAAGGCGUCGACGGGUAGCCGGCCUGAGAGGGUGUACGGCCACAUUGGGACUGAGAUACGGCCCAGACUCCUACGGGAGGCAGCAGUGGGGAAUAUUGCACAAUGGGCGCAAGCCUGAUGCAGCGACGCCGCGUGGGGGAUGACGGCCUUCGGGUUGUAAACUCCUUUCGCUAGGGACGAAGCGUUUUUGUGACGGUACCUGGAGAAGGAGCACCGGCUAACUACGUG
rnacentral:rRNA from 1 species